CAGGCUGAAACUCGCCUGCAUGAAGUCGGAAUUGCUAGUAAUCGCAGAUCAGCAUGCUGCGGUGAAUACGUUCCCGGGCCUUGUACACACCGCCCGUCACACCAUGGGAGUCGGUAACACCCGAAGCCUGUAGUCUAACCGCAAGGAGGACGCAGUCGAAGGUGGGAUUGAUGACUGGGGUGAAGUCGUAACAAGGUAUC
rnacentral:rRNA from 1 species